UGACAUUUAACUGUAAAGCAUCUCGAAAGAAUAUGUAAAGAUUAUGUUCCAGAGCUUUUCUUAUCUCAUCCACUUCACUUUCAGCUGCACUAAGCCUUAACAAAUUCUAAAUCUGCAGCAGAAGAUGGUGAAGUGCGUUGUGAGAAGUUGAGCAAUUUGGUCAUACAGUGUAUUGCUGAGGCCGGUGGAAGGAUUGAUUAUGCUGAGAUUGUUGAUCAAAAUAAUUUG